GGGAAAGCCAAAGACGUAGCCCAGAAUCUUCAGUUUAACAAUGUUCAUUUACCUUCGAAUUGGAAAUCUCAAACUCACGCGGCGAAGAACUUUGGCCCCGAAAUCCAUUUCAUAUUUUUAUAGUGAUUUUACCCUAACCUACGAAGAGCCCUAACCCAAAAUCCAUUUGAAGCAUUCAUUUUCAUUCUGCUUGUUGAAAGGUGAAAUUUGCAACCGUGAUUGCGCACAUUAUCACUACUUCCUCUAAAUUGAUUCCAGGUUUACGUUUAAUUUCUAUAAAAAUAAAGGAAUUUUGAUUUUGAAGGGCUGGUUUAUCUCAAAUGUUAUUUAGGAAAUGCCAAAUGAAACAGGAUGCUAAUCUGAAUUAAAUGUGAUUUACGCCUAAUUACUUGUAUGAAUUGAGUUAUAAGCCUAAUGACAUUAAGGUUAUAUGUCUUAGAGAGAAGUAGGGGUAAAUUUUUCCGAAUUUCUUUCUGAACAACACAUAUUACUUCAGAAUGGCAGGGAGAAAUCGGGGUAUUUUUCAUAGCUGUAGGAUGCUUGGGCACAUGUUGUCGGAAUGCCCAACAAAGACACGAUGUCGAGAAUGUAGAUUGGGCAUUGUGAAAUGUACGGAGGUAGAAAAAAGACAAUAAAAAAAACAUAGGUCAUUUAUUCUUAUGUUAUACUUGAGAUUGUGGUUAUUUCAAGUGGAUUGAUGAUCCAUUGUCAUCGCAAGAAACACUUUGCAAAUUUGAUGGUGAAUUCAGUGUAAAAUCAAGGACGAAAGAUCCACUUGAAGAUUUGUCGUCUACGUUGAAGAACAAUUGGAGAUAGCUAUCAACAUAAUGAUUCGUAAGGAAAAAGGAACUACCAAGGACAACGAAAAAGGAAGGGGAAGAGUUCGAUAAAUUUCUUCCAACUAUAUAAUCAGAUAAAAGAUGUACAUCGUAGUUUUUAAAUUGAAUGCUCAUGUAAUCAGUACUAGUAGUUGUAGUACAUUAAGGCAUCGAGACUUGGAUGCGAUGUUGUAAUAGAUUAAGGUAGUUAGACUUCGAUACAAUGUUGUACUAACUCCGUUAUUUUUCAAACAUCUUUUCAAUUGCACAUGUUUUCUAAUUUGUGAACUUUGUAGAAUAUCAUUGUAUUUCAUGUGGUAUAAAUAAUAUAAGUGUUGUAUAGAUUUG
rnacentral:lncRNA from 1 species